AUGGAUGGCGAGUGGAGAGUCACAUCAGAGCUUAGUUUUGGCUCCAAAAAAGCGAUGAAGGGGGCAUGCGGAAUUACUGUAUCCAAUGAAGGAUUUGAUGCGGCUGAAUGUGGGUGCGAAUUGACGCCAGUUGUUAGGGUUUGCAAUGAAGGAUUUGAUGCAGGCCGGCGAUUUCUGAGUUGUCCAUAUGAGGGGUUAAACUCCUGUGGGUAUUUGAGGUGGAUGGAUGAUGCAUGGCAGGGCAGAUCAAGGGUGGUAAUUCGAAAGCUUGCAGAUGACAACCAGAAGCUACAAAAUGCUUUGCUUGACAAGGAACAAGACAUUCAGAGGAUGAAGAAAGAGAGGAAUAAAUUAGAUGAGCAGAGGAAAAGUAGGGAAAAAUUAGAUUUGUUUCUAGUACUUGUUGUUCUUGCAAGUGUAGUGAUUUAUGCUCUAGUUGCAUUGGUUAGUAGGGGAUUUGUGUGA
rnacentral:rRNA from 1 species